UUGCAGGUUUAUGGUUUCUGAAGACUUCAACGACCACAAGACUUCCAACCUUAUCUCCUCCUCGAUGCAGCUGCCUCUCUCCUUCUUCCCUAAAAGCCCCCGUGCUGUGAGAAAUGAGAAAUCAAACAGUUACUGGGAAGCAGAGUCACCUCCUAAUUAUGACAGAGUUGGAAUUGAGAAUUUCAUCCGUGCAAAGUGUUUUGGUGCUCAUGUCAUCCAUUAGGCAUGAAUCAAAGAACUGGGUUCCAAGGAUGGCAAACUAAAAUCACCUCCGAGGGUAACUGGGCAGAAAACUUCUGUUUAUAGAGCAAGGCGUGAAAUUAGAAGCAAGCAUGCAUUGUGAUGUCAAAUAUAUUGAACGGCCUUAUGAGGAGCAGAAAGGUGCAUACAGCUGGUAGAAUAAAGUCAAUAAACAGCACACCUAAGUAGUGAUGAUUUGAAACCGAAAAGCUUUGAGAAGAAAUCACAAUUGAAGCAAGUCAAAAACCACGAGAGCUGCUCAAGAAAUUAGAACCGGUAGCUCCAAAAGCUAAACCAGCAAGCCAGGGAGCUAGUGCUUUCAAUUUGCGUACAGUGGAUUAUAUAUGCUACUGAUUUGUUCAAUAUAUAUAUGCUCUCUAUGGAGGACUCAAGAUUGAUUGAUUUUGUCUGCAACCUGCCCCCCAAGUUAUUCAGUUGGCCACACAAAAGGGGUGAAGCAUUGGCCAACAAGUUCCUAGCAACCUGACGCCCCCUAAUCUACAAUAUUAGUGUGGUGGUGCUUAUGAAAGAGUUUGCUUACAGCUACUGUUGUCCGUCUGAAAUCUUAUCUCUUAUGUUGUUUUCUUGGGCCAGAUUGGGAACGGCUAUAAUGCACGUCCCACAGGCAAUGCAGUUUGUUAAGUCUGAAUCAUCAAUUGAGUCAGAUCCCCUAGAUUAAUCUGUUCAUAACUUCUAAUCCCCUAGAUUAAUCACCCAUAAAUUAAUCCCCUAGAUUAAUUCCUUAGAUUAAUAUCCUAGAUUAAUCUGUUCAUAAUUGUAAUUAUUUUUCACCUUAGC